rnacentral:rRNA from 1 species
GACGAUCUGUAGCGGGUCUGAGAGGAUGAUCCGCCACACUGGGACUGAGACACGGCCCAGACUCCUACGGGAGGCAGCAGUGGGGAAUUUUGGACAAUGGGCGCAAGCCUGAUCCAGCCAUGCCGCGUGAGUGAAGAAGGCCUUCGGGUUGUAAAGCUCUUUCGGCCGGGAAGAAAUCGUGUUCUCUAACAUAGGGCAUGGAUGACGGUACCGGACUAAGAAGCACCGGCUAACUACGUGCCAGCAGCCGCGGUAAUACGUAGGGUGCGAGCGUUAAUCGGAAUUACUGGGCGUAAAGCGUGCGCAGGCGGUUUUGUAAGACAGAUGUGAAAUCCCCGGGCUUAACCUGGGAACUGCGUUUGUGACUGCAAGGCUAGAGUACGGCAGAGGGGGGUGGAAUUCCUGGUGUAGCAGUGAAAUGCGUAGAUAUCAGGAGGAACACCGAUGGCGAAGGCAGCCCCCUGGGCCUGUACUGACGCUCAUGCACCAAAGCGUGGGGAGCUAACAGGAUUAGAUACCCUGGUAGUCCACGCCCUAAACGAUGUCGACUAGUCGUUCGGAGCAGCAA